GAGGAAUAUUGCACAAUGGGCGCAAGCCUGAUGCAGCAACGCCACGUGAGGGACGAAGGCCUUCGGGUCGUAAACCUCUUUUCUGGGGGACGAGUAAGGACGGUACCCCAGGAAUAAGUCUCGGCUAACUACGUGCCAGCAGCCGCGGUAAAACGUAGGAGGCGAGCGUUAUCCGGAUUUACUGGGCGUAAAGCGUACGCGGGUGGCUUCGUUAGUCGGACAUGAAAGCUCCUGGCUUAACUGGGAGAGGUUGUUCGAUACUGCGGGGCUUGAGGUUGGGAGAGGGACGUGGAAUUCCCGGUGUAGUGGUGGAAUGCGUAGAUAUCGGGAGGAACACCAGUGGCGCAAGCGGCGUCCUGGCCCACACCUGACGCUGAGGUACGAAAGCGUGGGUAGCAAACAG
rnacentral:rRNA from 1 species